AAUUAGCAUCCGGAGAUAUGACUAAUGCAGUUGUUAUUCUGCAAAUUGCAAAGAUGAAACCAUUCAGAGGGAUAUCAAGCAUUCAAAAUGUGUAUGGAGCUACAAAGAUCCUUUUUAAUCCUGAUGUUGAAGAGGCAGCUCCACUUCGUGUAAAGAUUUUUUGCACUGACUGACCCUGCAUCCCAAGUCUUGAGUCAGCUACAAGACUCUUGCAAAGUUCCCAUUGCUGAAGAUUUCUUGAACCUUACUGAAGGGAAGACAAUUGAGCAGAUAAAGGUUUUAACAAAGAAGUCUACAUGUGCUGUUCUGGCUGCAGUUUAGUUCAUUCCAGAAGGUCCUUGGUGGUAUCCCGCAUGCAAGUGUAACAAGAAGGUGUAUUCCGCAGACGGAAUGUUUUUCUGUGAGAAUUGUGUUUGCCAUAUGGUUUUACCAAUCCCCAGAUAUAAGUUGCAAGUCAGAGUUGUUGAUACUACGGAAUCCACAACCUUUGUUAUCUUUGAUCAAGAGGCAUAUGUCCUACUUAAUAAACCAUGUGCUACUUUGGUCAAAGAUCCAACCAAGGAUCCUACAGAUUUUGAAGUUCCUGCUGAUGUUUUGGAACUCAUUGAUCAAACAUUUCUAUUCAAAAUUGAAGUCAAUAACAGCUCAAACUCGAUAUUUAAACCAUCGUACCGAGUUAAGAAAAUCUGCUCUGACUCAGAGUUUAUGUGUCAGUUUCAGGCAUCCCUCCCCUCUAUUGAGGGUUCUGCUCCAUUGUUGAUUAUGGGGACCCCUAUUUCAGUGCUAAAGGGUGAAUCUUCAUUUUCAAGUAUAGUGAAGGAUCUUAAUGCCGAGUUUGUUAAUGCUGGAAAUUCCAAUGCUGUGGAGACGUUUAAUUCUCCUGUUGUUGGCUUGAGUUCGGAUACUCAGCGAAGCUCUCCUGUCCCUUCUGAUCCAACUCCAAAAGCUAAAAUAAGUCUGCAAAACAUGAUAUGACCCUAAAAGAGAUUGAACCUGCGGGUGAAUUGGACAUCAAUAAGUCUGCUGAUUCUGAUGGUCCCAGUGAUGAAGAUUGUUGGUGUUGAAUCUGCUGAAGCUAUCCAAGCUGCUGAAACUGCUAAAGAGCCUGAAGUGGAUGUAUUUGUUGAAAGCUAGAUUUCCCCUCCCUCCAAGCGUCCAUCCCCCCUGAUGCCGAAGUUGUUGGAGUCUCAGUUGCUGGCAAGAAACCCCUGAAAGCUGUGAAAAAGGAGAAGAUCUGAAGACUUUUUUUUGUUGUGUCGGCUGUUUUGAUGUUUUGCUAUUGUGGUUGUCUUUUCAAGCUGUUAAGUGUGUUGUUUUGUAGUCCUGGAUGUUAUCUCUAUGUUUUUCAAAGCACGUCAAGACCAAAACAAAGGGCCUUCUUUGUUGUCCAUCUGUGUGAGAGGCAUUCUUCAACUUCUGGCCCGAUUUCUUCUUGUCAAUUUCAACCCCUCUGUUAAAAAAGAUGAAUUCUCCGAAA